rnacentral:tRNA from 1 species
CGGGCAGUAGCACAGUGGUAGAGCUCUCGCUUCCUAUGGGGGGAAGAUCUGGGUUCGAUUCCCGGCUGCUUAC